rnacentral:rRNA from 1 species
UACGGGAGGCAGCAGUGGGGAAUAUUGCACAAUGGGCGAAAGCCUGAUGCAGCUAUGCCGCGUGUAUGAAGAAGGCCUUAGGGUUGUAAAGUACUUUCAGCAGGGAGGAAGAAUAAAACUAAUAAUUUAUUUGUGACGUUACCUGAAGAAGAAGCACCGGCUAACUCCGUGCCAGCAGCCGCGGUAAUACGGAGGGUGCAAGCGUUAAUCAGAAUUACUGGGCGUAAAGAGCGCGUAGGUGGUUUUUUUAAGUCAGAUGUGAAAUCCCUAGGCUUAACCUGGAACUGCAUUUUGAAACUGAAAACUAGAGUAUCGUAGAGGGAGGUAGAAUUCUAGGUGUAGCGGUGAAAUGCGUAGAUAUCUGGAGGAAUACCUGUGGCGAAAGCGGCCUCCUAAACGAAUACUGACACUGAGGUGCGAAAGCGUGGGGAGCAAACAGGGAUUAGAUACC